AGAUAACCCUUUGAAACAAGAUAAAGGGUAGAGCCUGCCCAGUGGGAAACUUUUCCUCAACGGCCGCGGUAUCUUGACCGUGCAAAGGUAGCAUAAUCAUUUGUCUCUUAAAUGGGGACCUGUAUGAAUGGCUUUUCAUUCUCUAGCUGUCUCCCUUCUUCUCCCUUUAAACUUCUAUUUACGUGAAGAAGCGUAAUUUUGACAGAAAGACGAGAAGACCCUGUCGAGCUUCAGCUAAACCUAAGUCCCACUACAUUUCCUCUCAGAGAAAAAGUAAAGUCCUUAGAACAAGCUUUGGUUGGGGCAACCAUGGAGUAAAAACAGCCUCCAGUUUUUCAGGUAGAAAACUAUUCUCCUAAAUAUACACUUUUAGAACCAAAAAUUUUGGAAAACGGAAAAAGUUACCGCAGGGAUAACAGCGUUAUCUUUUCUGAGAGCCCUUAUUGACGAAAAGGAUUGCGACCUCGAUGUUGGAUUGGGGUAACCAGAGGGUGCAGCAGCUCUCCAAGGUCGG
rnacentral:rRNA from 1 species